GAGAGCCGUAAUGGCGAGAAACAGGCGAAAGCGUGAUGACGUAAGUUGGCAAAUUCCAGGAGUCCGUGAAAAGGGAGUUGAAAGUCCGUACCGAGAUCCGACACUGGUGCCCCAAGCUGAGAAGGCUAAGGCGUUUCGGCAUAUGCUAGCUAAGGGAAUUCGGCAAAUUAGCCACGUAACUUCGGGAUAAGUGGUGCCUGCUUUGCAAAAAGCAGGUCGCAGUGACGAGGGGACUCUAACUGUCUAAUAACAACAUAGGUGAUUGCGAAUCCGUAAGGACUAGUACAAUUACUGAAUCCUGCCCAGUGCAGGUACCUGAAAACCCGGUUCAACGGGAAGAAGGGCCUGUCAACGGCGGGGGUAACCAUGACCCUCUUAAGGUAGCGUAGUACCUUGCCGCUUAAUUGGCGGCUUGCAUGAAUGGAUUAAUGAGAGUCCCACUGUCCCUAGCUGGUACCCGGUGAACCUUACAUUCCAGUGCAGAGUCUGGAGACCCCUAAUGGGAAGUGAAGACCCCGUGGAGCUUUACUGCAGCCUGCCGUUGGGCUGUGGUUCUGAUUGUAGAGCAUAGGUAGGAGACGUCGAAGCUCGGGCGCCAGCCUGAGUGGAGUCGACACUGGAAUACUACCCUUUCGGAGCCGCCGCCCUAACUCUGAGAAGAGGACCUCGGUAGGUGGGCAGUUUGGGUGGGGCGCCACGCCCUUGAAAAGAUAUCAAGGGCGCCCUAAGGUUGACUCAGUUGGGUCGGAAACCCAACAAAGAGUGUAAAGGCAUAAGUCAGCCUGAUGUUACCUCGCAUAGCAAGAGGUGAUAAGACGAAAGUCAGGCUUAGCGAACCUCUCAGCUCUCUUGGUGAGAGCGUUAGAUGACAGAAAAGCUACCCCGGGGAUAACAGAGUCGUCACCGGCAAGAGCACAUAUCGACCCGGUGGCUUGCUACCUCGAUGUCGGUUCUUUCCAUCCUGGCCGUGCAGCAGCGGCCAAGGGUGAGGUUGUUCGCCUAUUAAAGGAGAUCGUGAGCUGGGUUUAGACCGUCGUGAGACAGGUCGGUUACUAUCUGUUAGGGGUGUAUUGCGGUCUGAGGGCAGGUUGGUUUUAGUACGAGAGGAACAAACCAACGGCACCUCUGGUCUAUCGGCUGUCUGGCAAGGCACGCCGAGCAGCUACGUGCUCGCGGAUAAGGGCUGAAAGCAUCUAAGCCCGAAACCGUUCCUGAAAAGAGACCGCUUAGAGUACUCGUAAAAGACGAGUUUGAUAGAGCUGGUGUGUACGCACCAAGGCAACGAGGUGUUCAGCUCGCAGCUACUAAUAACUCUGCAGCGCUC
rnacentral:rRNA from 1 species